UUUACAGCUACAAAUCAUCCUACAGUUAAAAAUAUUUUACAAUUACAAAUAUAUUCUACAAUUACACAUCAAUAUUCUACGCACAAAAAGCUGCUCUACAGUUACAAAUCUUUUCUACAGGUGUACAGACUUUUGCACCACCUUUGGGAUGAAAAGUGUCUCAUAUGUAUUGUGUGUGUGUGUGUAACAGGAUUUGUAACUGUAAAAAUGAUUUGUGAUUUAACAAAAAAAUAACACGAACAAUUUUAAGUAUUACUCAUAUGUCGUUCACUUACAAAUAUAUUCCACAGGUAUGAAAUAUUCCACAGUUGCUGUCUUUCAAUUGCGAAACUAUUCUGCCAUUACAAAUUUCUGCUGCUCGCACAAGUAUUUUCUACAAGUAUACAAAUCAUUUUGAGACUGUUCUGGCGCUUCCUGUUGAAUAGCCAAUGGCGAUCCUCAGGUUUGGCUAGCCAACCAUGAAUCUCAGUUCACUAACCAAUCACAGAGCAGGAGCAGCGCCGUCGUUGUCUGUGGGUGCAACCAAACCUGGAGUCUACGUUUGGAGCACGCUAGUUUCCUGUAUUCCUUGAGGUAUGUUGGUAGCCUACACCACACAGACAUGUUCUAUGUCCACUAUUCCUUGUUAAUACAGCCAGUGUACCUGAUAUACGGGGCAACGAGUUUCUUAUGGAUCCCCAGUUGCUGCCUCCUUCUGAAGCACAGGUUAUUAGAGAGGCUGAAAACCAGGCUGGAACAGGCUCUUCAAAGGCAGCCUCUGGACCUGGACUAUUUAGAGUUCCUCUGUACCAGUGAGUUGAGCCUAGUUCACUGAGUACUCACAUGCCAUUUCCAGAAGAGGUCAUAGGCAGACGGGAAAAGCAGGCCUUAAAAGAGGGCUACAGGAUACUGGGGUGCUCCCAAUGAUAACAGAACGGCCAGAACUGGCUAGAGUUCUGUUCCCACAAGGUGGCUCAUCUCUAAUGGAUCCUAAGAUGAUUUUGAAAAGAGUGGUUUGACCAGAUGAGGCGGAGGUUGACGAAGAUGAAAUGGAAGACUGCCGUGUCACAGCCUACCUCAGACAAUACGUUUUUCUUUAGAGACAUUGAAAGACCUGGUGGUCUUCUGGACGGGAUGGUCUGUUGGCAGGGGCAAUGCCGACUGUACUUUGAAACUCCCCCUAGGGACAAGAAUGUAUGACACCUUCAAAGAAGCUAUGAAUGCAGCGCUGAAAUAAAGCAAUUAUGGUUUUGGCUUGAUCUAGUGUUGUUUUCUGAAAGUUCAAUGCAGUAUAGUCAACAAUUUCAGUGUUUCAGACGGUGACCAGAGUUCCAGUUGUUCAAUGAAUAAACUAUGCAAUGAGAAACUGUA